UCAGGAUGGCCGAGCCGUCUAAGCUGCCUUCAGGUUGCAGUCUCUCCUGGAGGCGUCGGUUCAGAUCCCACUCCUGAUA
rnacentral:tRNA from 1 species